GAGUUCCGCGCUGCUCCCUCGCGGCGCCUGCUCCUCUCCCCCGGCCUGGGCCUUGGCUGCGGCUGCGGGACAGGGCGGUGCCUGUGUCUGUGGCUCCAGGGUGGGACUCUUCAGUCACCUGCAGCCCUGGGGACGCGCCGUGCUGCAGAAUUUCAUGGAAGUGCGACUGGGAUGGACCCUGCCAUCUCCUCACGUGUCGAUUCUGACAGGUGGCUUGCAAAACGACUGGCAAGAAUCUUGAUCUCCUGUGACUUGUCUGCCUGUAGCAACAGCACCCAAUCCUUGACAUCCAUUUUGGGGCACAGUUUUGUUAUAUCUACAAAUGAAACAGGAUUGGACCAUGGCAGGAGGACUUUUUUCUGUUGGCCCUGCUCAUAGUAUCACAGCUGCUGCUGCUGCUGCAGUGGACAGAAGAAGCAUUUACAGGCAAGUAUCAGUCGGUCAGACACAAAGACUGUAACUGUGGAGUGAGAUCUUUUGCUCAGCUGAGUGAGGGUAGGCUGCCAAAAUAGAAAAACAAAAUAUGACAGAUUUAGAAGGCAUGCAACUUGGACAUAUGGUCUUAUAUUAAGAGCUGUUGGUACAGUUUGAGUUAUGUCUACCAAUCUCAAGGCUGGCAGCAUCUGGGCUAUAGUUCCUAGUAGCAGAGUUAUUGUCAGCUGCUGGCUGGUGUAUCAGACCUAAAUGGACAUAGUUGAUGUUAAUGCCUUGUCUUCAAAUUGGGCCCUAGGCCUGGUUUCUACAGCAGUUGAACUUAAAAGGCUUUAGAUUUCUUGGUAAAGAUCAGUGAUUGAUUUGAACUGUUACCUGCAUUUGGAUGUGUGCCAUUGUUAGGCCCUGGAAUUAUAAAGGCCUGGGAAAGCUACCUCAGUAGUUGAGUAUUUGCAGCUUAUUUGAAGACUGCUGGCUGUAGUGGUUAGCAAGUGUUAAUACAUGAUCAUGCAAAACAAGUGCUCUCCAGAUGGUCAGUAAUGUGCAUAUCAUAUACAUUAAACCUGAGCAGUUUGUUUUACUGAAUGUC